rnacentral:misc_RNA from 1 species
AAGUCGUAACAAGGUUUCCGUAGGUGAACCUGCGGAAGGAUCAUUAACACGUAUCCACGUUAAUCCACCCGUGCACAAUGAUUGGGAGACGCCGCCUUGGUCUUGUGGGUCCAGCCGCGGAACCGUACCCGCAAAUCAGACAUUUCUCAGGAUUCCGGUAAAACGGAAGCCGAAAACGUAACCCGAACAACUGUUAGCAAUGGAUAUCUUGGUUCUC